CGUCAGCGUCUGCAGGAUUUUACUAUAGCAGUCAAGGGUUACUGAAAAGCGUGUACGAGAAAUUAGUACCCAAAUAUGGUGACGUUAGAGUGCUCUAUUACGACAUGGGUCUGGAUAGGGAUCAGUUGAAACAGCUUCAAAACCAUUGCGACAUUUGUAUCAUCCGAAAAUUCGACUUCCAAAAGUAUCCGAUUCAUGUGGCGAGUAUGCGUACAUAUGCAUGGAAACCGUUGAUAAUUAAAGAUGCAUUGCGUGACUACAACUGGGUAUGGUGGAUGGAUAGUUCAGCACGAAUAACUUCCGGUGACCUUGACCAAGCACUAAAAUACAGCCGUAAGCACUCAGUCCUUCAUUUCACGUACGGGCCUUCGCUGUCAAUCGCCCGACACACAGACGCUCGAACGAUGCAAUAUUUAGGAGAAGAUGUCUGCAAAUUUAGGCACUUUGGCGAAAUCGAGGCAGGAUUUGUGCUCUACUACUUUGAUGACGUAACUAAAACGGUGGUUGACGUCUGGGGCGCAUGCGCUUUGGAUAGAAAUUGUAUCGCUCCGCCACGAGCAAAAUAUUAUUGCAACCCUAUGGUGAAUACCGACGGCCAGUGCCAUAGAUUUGACCAAUCAGUGCUAAGUAUCAUUUUAAGACGUUUAUUCCACAAAUGCAAUGACAAUCCGAUCAUUGAACAUCCGAUGGGAAUUCACGAAAUUCGAAGAGGAGAAAGAGUGUCAUUCUUUCCCCGAAAAUAGACAUCGAAAUGCAUGUGCAUAGUGCACACUAUAUUGUUGAUGUUGAUACAUUUAUUAUGGUUUAAUUGAUCAAAACUACAAUAUAUUAAUGUAUGCAUGUU